GACGAACGCUGGCGGCGUGCUUAACACAUGCAAGUCGAACGGAAAGGCCCUGCUUUUGUGGGGUGCUCGAGUGGCGAACGGGUGAGUAACACGUGAGUAACCUGCCCUUGACUUUGGGAUAACUUCAGGAAACUGGGGCUAAUACCGGAUAGGAGCUCCUGCUGCAUGGUGGGGGUUGGAAAGUUUCGGCGGUUGGGGAUGGACUCGCGGCUUAUCAGCUUGUUGGUGGGGUAGUGGCUUACCAAGGCUUUGACGGGUAGCCGGCCUGGGAGGGGGACCGGCCACAUUGGGACUGAGAUACGGCCCAGACUCCUACGGGAGGCAGCAGUGGGGAAUAUUGCACAAUGGGAGGAAGCCUGAUGCAGCAACGCCGCGUGCGGGAUGACGGCCUUCGGGUUGUAAACCGCUUUCGCCUGUGACGAAGCGUGAGUGACGGUAAUGGGUAAAGAAGCACCGGCUAACUACGUG
rnacentral:rRNA from 1 species